rnacentral:rRNA from 1 species
GAUGAACGCUGGCGGCGUGCCUAAUACAUGCAAGUCGAGCGAACGGACGAGAAGCUUGCUUCUCUGAUGUUAGCGGCGGACGGGUGAGUAACACGUGGAUAACCUACCUAUAAGACUGGGAUAACUUCGGGAAACCGGAGCUAAUACCGGAUAAUAUUUUGAACCGCAUGGUUCAAAAGUGAAAGACGGUCUUGCUGUCACUUAUAGAUGGAUCCGCGCUGCAUUAGCUAGUUGGUAAGGUAACGGCUUACCAAGGCAACGAUGCAUAGCCGACCUGAGAGGGUGAUCGGCCACACUGGAACUGAGACACGGUCCAGACUCCUACGGGAGGCAGCAGUAGGGAAUCUUCCGCAAUGGGCGAAAGCCCGACGGAGCAACGCCGCGUGAGUGAUGAAGGUCUUCGGAUCGUAAAACUCUGUUAUUAGGGAAGAACAUAUGUGUAAGUAACUGUGCACAUCUUGACGGUACCUAAUCAGAAAGCCACGGCUAACUACGUGCCAGCAGCCGCGGUAAUACGUAGGUGGCAAGCGUUAUCCGGAAUUAUUGGGCGUAAAGCGCGCGUAGGCGGUUUUUUAAGUCUGAUGUGAAAGCCCACGGCUCAACCGUGGAGGGUCAUUGGAAACUGGAAAACUUGAGUGCAGAAGAGGAAAGUGGAAUUCCAUGUGUAGCGGUGAAAUGCGCAGAGAUAUGGAGGAACACCAGUGGCGAAGGCGACUUUCUGGUCUGUAACUGACGCUGAUGUGCGAAAGCGUGGGGAUCAAACAGGAUUAGAUACCCUGGUAGUCCACGCCGUAAACGAUGAGUGCUAAGUGUUAGGGGGUUUCCGCCCCUUAGUGCUGCAGCUAACGCAUUAAGCACUCCGCCUGGGGAGUACGACCGCAAGGUUGAAACUCAAAGGAAUUGACGGGGACCCGCACAAGCGGUGGAGCAUGUGGUUUAAUUCGAAGCAACGCGAAGAACCUUACCAAAUCUUGACAUCCUUUGACAACUCUAGAGAUAGAGCUUUCCCCUUCGGGGGACAAAGUGACAGGUGGUGCAUGGUUGUCGUCAGCUCGUGUCGUGAGAUGUUGGGUUAAGUCCCGCAACGAGCGCAACCCUUAAGCUUAGUUGCCAUCAUUAAGUUGGGCACUCUAAGUUGACUGCCGGUGACAAACCGGAGGAAGGUGGGGAUGACGUCAAAUCAUCAUGCCCCUUAUGAUUUGGGCUACACACGUGCUACAAUGGACAAUACAAAGGGCAGCGAAACCGCGAGGUCAAGCAAAUCCCAUAAAGUUGUUCUCAGUUCGGAUUGUAGUCUGCAACUCGACUACAUGAAGCUGGAAUCGCUAGUAAUCGUAGAUCAGCAUGCUACGGUGAAUACGUUCCCGGGUCU